GAAUUGCGAUAAGUAAUGUGAAUUGCAGAUUUCCAGUGAAUCAUCGAAUCUUUGAACGCACCUUGCGCUCCUUGGUAUUCCGAGGAGCAUGCCUGUUUGAGUGUCAUCGAAUUCUCAAUCAUGUCGUGUGUGCAAGCAUGGACAUGACUUGGAGUUGGGGGUUGCUGGCCGUCCACAGGGCAGUCGGCUCUCCUUAAAUGCAUUAGCGAACGUGGCGUCCGUCUCGAGAAGACGUGCACGGCCUUUGACGUGAUAAUGAUCGUCAUCGUCGGAGCAUCUCACUUGGGAUCAUGUAUGCCAACCGAUCGCUCCGAACCAGAACCGGAGGGCUUCCCUGCUGGUCUGAAGUGAAGCGGAGUCAAGCUUUAGCUACUAGCCUACUUUCGAGCAGGCGAACGCGGCAAGACAAGGCUUCCAUCAGAUCCUCUGUCGGAAGCUUCCGCUCGAAAGGGGGCAAAAACGAGGACAAGGACAGAAGACGGUCGGACAGACCUUCCGCAGACUGCCAGUCCAGGACGGACAAAGUGGAGCUCUGGCUUACUAGCUUGCGAGAGCGAGCGAACGGCAGGGCGAGACUUUUGUCAUGAUCGGACUGGCGGUUCGGAGGCCGCUCGAAGUCAAAGUCCCUAGGUCCGAACCGUGGACGUCCUUCCAUUUCGAUCCAAAGGUUGACCUCAAAUCAGGCAGGACUACC
rnacentral:rRNA from 1 species